AUACGGAGGAGCCAAGCGUUAUCAGGAAUCAUUGGGUUUAAAGGGUUCGUAGGCGGGUUUAUAAGUCAGUGGUGAAAGUUUGCGGCUCAACCGUAAAAUUGCCAUUGAUACUGUAGAUCUUGAAUUAGUGUGAAGUGAUUAGAAUAAGUAGUGUAGCGGUGAAAUGCAUAGAUAUUACUUAGAAUACCAAUUGCGAAGGCAGGUCACUAACACUAUAUUGACGCUGAGGGACGAAAGCGUGGGGAGCGAACAGGAUUAGAUACCCCAGUAGUCC
rnacentral:rRNA from 1 species